rnacentral:rRNA from 1 species
AUUGAACGCUGGCGGCAGGCCUAACACAUGCAAGUCGAACGAGUGGCGGACGGGUGAGUAAUGUCUGGGAAACUGCCUGAUGGAGGGGGAUAACUACUGGAAACGGUAGCUAAUACCGCACACCAUCAGAUGGGCCCAGAUGGGAUUAGCUUGUUGGUGGGGUAAAGGCUCACAAAGGCGACGAUCCCUAGCUGGUCUGCGAGGAUGACCAGCCACACUGGAACUGAGACACGGUCCAGACUCCUACGGGAGGCAGCAGUGGGGAAUAUUGCACAAUGGGCGCAAGCCUGAUUCAGCCAUGCCGCGUGAAUGAAGAAGGCCUUCGGGUUGUAAAGUUCUUUCGGCAGGGAGGCGUUACCCACAGAAGAAGCACCGGCUAACUCCGUGCCAGCAGCCGCGGUAAUUC